GCCCGCCUAGCUCAAUCGGAUAGAGCGUGAGACUUUUACGAAUACGUGAUUGACGUGUCACGUGAUCUCAAGGCUGCGGGUUCGACCCCCGCGGUGGGCU